GCCUUAGUAGCGGCGAGUGAAGCGGCAAAGCUCAAAUUUGAAAUCUGGCACUUUCAGUGUCCGAGUUGUAAUUUGAAGAAGGUAUCUUUGGGUCUGGCUCUUGUCUAUGUUUCUUGGAACAGAACGUCACAGAGGGUGAGAAUCCCGUGCGAUGAGAUGUCCCAGACCUAUGUAAAGUUCCUUCGAAGAGUCGAGUUGUUUGGGAAUGCAGCUCUAAGUGGGUGGUAAAUUCCAUCUAAAGCUAAAUAUUGGCGAGAGACCGAUAGCGAACAAGUACAGUGAUGGAAAGAUGAAAAGAACUUUGAAAAGAGAGUGAAAAAGUACGUGAAAUUGUUGAAAGGGAAGGGCUUGAGAUCAGACUUGGUAUUUUGUAUGUUACUCUCUCGGGGGUGGCCUCUACAGUUUACCGGGCCAGCAUCAGUUUGAGCGGUAGGAUAAGUGCAAAGAAAUGUGGCACUGCUUCGGUAGUGUGUUAUAGUCUUUGUCGAUACUGCCAGCUUAGACUGAGGACUGCGGCUUCGGCCUAGGAUGUUGGCAUAAUGAUCUUAAGUCGCCCGUCUUGA
rnacentral:rRNA from 1 species